rnacentral:rRNA from 1 species
CGCGUAGGCGGUUCGUUAAGUCGGAUGUGAAAACUCUGGGCUCAACUCAGAGCCUGCAUCCGAUACUGGCGGACUUGAGUGCGAGAGAGGAAAGCGGAAUUCCUGGUGUAGCGGUGAAAUGCGUAGAUAUCAGGAGGAACACCGGCGGCGAAGGCGGCUUUCUGGAUCGCAACUGACGCUGAGGCGCGAAAGCUAGGGGGAGCAAACA